GUUCGAUAACACGUGGAUUAAGACAAUUGGGCUUGCAAAGGUAUUAAUAAAUUAGAACUAUUUCAAAAUAAAAAAUCACAAAAAAUUAGAUCUUUUAGGUUAUAAAAUUUGACCUAGGUUAUAAAAAUUAGAUAUAUUCGCUGCAAAAUCAAAUGUAUGAGUUUGUCCGACUCCGUCAAAACGCGAGCGGUUCCCUUCGAAGCUUGGCGGCUGUGGCACCACAUUUGGAUUCCUACUCCUACCUGCAUUUGUGAGAGGCAUAAAUCCUAGUCUCCUAGCACCGCCUACACCACCGCAGCUCAGACUUGUUCUCUCAUCUCUGACGCACGGCCUCUCAGUCUCUCUAGAUGCUCCACUAUUUGUUCGCGACUUCAGCCUGUCUCACCUGCUUCCAGUGACCUCUCAUCCAGUUCCUUUCAGCUUUCAGAAAACUAUAGCUCAAUGGAGUGGGCAAUGCACAUAGUAGAGGAAGUCCAGCAAGAAAGGAACCGCAAUAAUCUUCCUGAAAAGGUAUUUUGUGCAAGUGUUAUUCCUUACUGGUACAAGUUCAAAGAGGGCGCAUCCGCAUUUGAUGGGUUAAUGCGAUUAGGCCACAGCAAAGAAAAAAAGGUGACAUAUCCUUAAACACAGGCCUAUAGCAUUGUCGCAAACACCUCGGGCUUAAAUCACCACGCAAUCCUUAAGGUUUGGUUUGCAACAUAUUGCAAUACAAGAAACAUGUGGCUCGUGUGCUACGAUCUUUUUGAUUGCUAUCUGAGACCUUGGUUAAACUGGAAAAAAUGCUACUAAAGUAGUGCCACUAGAACAGAGUAGUGAUGUUCCCAAUCAUCGGUGGUGCAAUUUUAUACCGUAAGUGUUCUAUAUUCGUGACCUAAUUUAUUAUUUUUAGUUUUGAAAAUGGUGUUGCAUUUUAAGUCAAAAUGUGAUUUCUCUUUUCAUUUGUUCUUUGUUGUACAUAUGAUGUGAAUAUAGGAUGAUUUUAGAGGUAGCCCACUACAUGCACAGUCAUGGAAGUUAUCAUGGAGAUUUGAGUUGCAUUGAUAGUUUCGUGAUGGUGGGGAGAAAGGUCAAGCUAGUUAACAUCGAGAAUGCGUUUCAUGACAUGCAUGGCCCACGAGCGUUGUCACACAAGCUUUCAAAUCUAAAGGCAUUUCGAGAUUUAUUAAGGGAUGAGUUGAAGCCCGAAAUUGAUUACGAGGAUUGAGGCCUCUUUUUGGGUAUUUUGAUAAGUAUUUUACACUAAUAGUGAAUCAAGGGUAAGAUCUUUAAUCUACGGUUGUGUUCAUUCGUGUUAUGGUACAUGUUAAUUUUGUCAAAAAUAGUUGAUUGUUUGUUUUUCUCCUUAUGGUUUGUUCAAUUACGAUUAUUUCGUGUGGAGGCUAAUCACACAUCCGUACCUUUUGAGCCCCGAAGAACGACUUGGGUACUUUUUCAAAGUGCAAUGGGCCAUUGUACAUAGGACCAUAUUGCUUCCUUCAACGGUGCAACUCAUUUUGGAUGACAACUUUGUAUGUGUUGAUGGCUUUGGUCAAUUCACAUAUUGGGUGGCAAAGAUUGGAAGCAAUUCGGUAUUGGUUCAUAUCAGAGACUAUAAUAAGGUGCUUAAUCCUUUGACCAUCAUAAGCAUCCUUUUUAUAGUCUCUGGUAUGGACUAAUACUGAAUUGUUUCCAAUCUUUGCCACCCAAUCUGUGAAUUGACCAAAGCCAUCAACACAUGCAAAGUUGUCAUCCAAAAUGUGUUGCACCGUUGAAGGAAGCAAUAUGGUCCUAUGUACCAUGUCCCAUUGCACUUUGAAAAGAAGUAUCCAAGUUGUUCUUUAGGGCUCAAAAGGUACGGAUGUGUGAUUGGCCUCCACACGAAAUAAUCGUAACUGGACAAACCAUAAGGAGAAAAACAAACAAUUAACUAUUUUUGACAAAAUUAACAUGUACCAUAACACAAAUAAACACAACCGUAGAUUAAAGAUCUUACCCUUGAUUCACUAUUAGUGUAAAGUACUUAUCAAAAUACCCCAAAAAGAGGUCUCGAUCCUCGCAAUCAAUUUUGGGCUUCAACUCAUCCCUUAACAAAUCUCGAAACGCCUUUAGGUCUGAAAGCUUGUGUGACAACGCUAGAGGGCCAUGCAUGCCGUGAAACUCAUUCUUGAUGUUAACUAGCUUGACCUUUUUCCCCACUAUCAAUGCAACUCAAAUCUUCAUGAUAACUUCCAUGACCGUGCAUGUAGUGGCCAACCUCUAAAACCAUCCUAUAUUCACAUCACAUGUACAACAAAGAACAAACGAGAGAAAACAAAAUUGGACUUAACAUGCAACACCAUUUUCAAAACUAAAUAGAAUAAAUGAGGUCACAAUAUGGAACACUUACUGUAUAAAAUUGCACCACCAUGGAUUGAGAACAUCACUACUCCGUUCUAGUGGCACUACUUUAGUAGUAUUAUUUUUCCGGUUUAACCAAGGUCUCAGAUAGCAAUCGAAACGAUCGUAGCACGAGCCACAUGUUUCCUUGUGUUGCAAACCAAACCCUAAGGAUUGUGUCAAAACACAAGCGGUUCCCUUGGCAGCUGUGGCACCACUUUUGGAUUCCUACUCCUACCUGCAUUUGUGAGAGGCAUAAAUCCUAGUCUCCUUACACCACCGCUCGACUUGUUCUCUCAUCUCUGACGCACAACCUCUCUAGUAUUUGUUCUCGACUUCAGCCUGUCUCACCUGCUUCCAGUGACCUCUCAUCUAGUUCCUUUCAGAAAACUAUAGCUCAAGGAGUGGGCAAUGCAUAUAGUAGAGGAAGUCCAGCAAGAAGGAACUGCAAUAAUCUUCCAGAAAAGGUAAGCAAAUGUUUAAUUAUGGCCAUAAUGUGUUGUGUGUUGGGAAAUGUCAUGUUGGCUUAUAUGUUAUUAGGUAUUUUGUGCAAGUGUUAUUCCUUACUGGUAUAAGUUCAAAGAGGGCGCAUCCACAUUUGAUAGGUUAAUUCAAUUAGGCAACGGCAAAGAAAAGAAGGUGACAUUUGUGAUAUAUCCUUAAACACAAGCCAAGAGCAUUGUCGCAAACACCUUGGACUUAAAUCACGAUGCAAUCCUUAUGGUUUGGUUUGCAACAUAUUGCAAUACAAGAAAUAUGUGGCUCGUGUGCUACGAUCGUUUCGAUUGCUAUCUGAGACCUUGGUUAAACCGGAAAAAUAAUGCUACUAAAGUAGUGCCACUAGAACAUAAUAGCGAUGAUCUCAAUCCAUGGUGGUGCAAUUUUAUAUAGUAAGUGUUCCAUAUUCGUGACCUCAUUUAUUAUAUUUAGUUUUGAAAAUGGUGUUGCAUGUUAAGUCAAAAUGUGAUUUAUCUUUUCGUUUGUUCUUUGUUGUACAUGUGAUGUGAAUAUAGAAUGGUUUUAAAGGCUGCCCACUACAUGCACAAUCAUGGAAGUUAUCAUGGAGAUUUGAGUUGCAUUGGUGGUUUCGUUAUGGUGGGGAAAAAUGUCAAGCUAGUUAACAUCGAAAAGGGGUUUCACGGCAUGCAUGGCCUACGAGCAUUGUCGCACAAACUUUCAAAACCUAAAGGUGUUUCAAGAUUUGUUAAGGGAUGAGUUGAAGCCCGAAAUUGAGUGCGAGGAUCAAGACCUCUUCUUUCAACUGAUCAUUUUACAAAUCUCGAAAUGCCUUAAGGCUCAAAGCUUGUGCAACAACGCCCGUGGACCAUGUAUGCCGUGAAACCCCUACUCGAUGUUAACUAGCUUGACUUUUUUCCCCACCAUCAUGAAACUACCAAUGCAACUCAAAUCUUCAUGAUAACUUUCAUAACUGUGCAUGUAGUGGGUAGCCUCUAAAACCGUCUAUAUUCACAUUACAUGUACAACAAAUAACAAACGAAAAGAUAAAUCACAUUUUGACUUAACAUGCAACACUAUUUUCAAAACUAAAUAGAAUUAAUGAGGUCACGAAUAUGGAACACUUACUGUAUAAAAUUGCACCACCAUGGAUUGAGAUCAUCACUACUCUGUUCUAGUGGCACUACUUUAGUAGCAUUAUUUUUCCGGUUUAACGAAGGUCUCAGAUAGCAGUCGAAACGAUCGUAGCACAUGAGCCACAUGUUUCUUGUAUUGCAAUAUGUUGCAAACCAAAUCCUGAGGAUUGUGUCGUGAUUUAAGCUCGAGGUGUUUGCAACAAUGCUCUUGGCUUGUGUUUCAAGAUAUGUCACCUUCUUUUAUUUGUCGUCACCUAAUCGAAUUAACGCAUCAAAUGCGGAUGCGCCCUCUUUGAACUUGUACUAGUAAGGAAUAACACUUGCACAAAUUACUUGCAAUAACAUAUAAGCCUACAAGACAUUUGCUAUUGUUGUCCAGCUUGCACAUGGUAUUUGCUUAUAGAGCCCUAAUCCUGUUGUUUGGGGCCCUGAAAAUUCUGAGCUUCCUUAAGUAAAUCUUUAAUCUCUAUUUUCUUGAUAUGGCAUUUGCUACUGUUGUCCAGCUUGCACAUGCUAAGAGGGAGAGAAAAGCUUGUAAAUCUGUUUGUCUAAUCCCUACGUGUUAAUGUUUUCAAAACCUAUUUUAAUUUCUUUCCCGCUUUUAUCUUUAGGAUUAAAAAUAUAGUGCAAAGGAAAUGGAAUGGACGUUGCACAUACUAGAGACAAAGAAACAAACCACAAUGAACUCUAAGAUAUGGCAAGCAAAUGUUUAUUUAUGGCCAUAAUGUGUUGGGAAAUGCCAUGUUGGCUUAUAUGUUAUUACAAGUAUUUUGUGCAAGUGUUAUUCCUUACCGGUAUAAGUUCAAAGAGGACGCAUCCGCAUUUGAUGGGUUAAUUCAAUUAGGCGAUGACAAAGAAAAGAAGGUUACAUUUGUGACAUAUCCUGAAACACAAGCCAAGAGCAUUGUCACAAACACAUCGGGCUUAAAUCACGACGCAAUCCUCAGGGUUUGGUUUGCAAAAUAUUGCAAUACAAGAAACAUGUGGCUCGUUUGCUACGAUCGUUUCGAUUGCUAUAUGAGACCUUGGUUAAACCGGAAAAAUAAUGCUACUAAAGUAGUGCCAUUAGAACAUAGUAGUGAUGAUCUCAAUUCAUGGUGAUGCAAUUUUAUUCAGUAAGUGUUCCAUAAUCGUGACCUCAUUUAUUAUAUUUAGUUUUGAAAAUGGUGUUGCAUGUUAAGUCAAAAUGUGAUUUAUCUUUUUGUUUGUUCUUUGUUAUACAUGUGAUGUGAAUAUAGGAUGGUUUUAGAGGCUACCCACUACAUACAUAGUCAUGGAAGUUAUCAUGGAGAUUUGAGUUGCAUUGGUAGUUUCGUGAUCGUGGGGAAAAAGGUCAAGCUAGUUAACAUCGAAAAGGAGUUUCACAGCAUGCAUGGCCUACGAGCGUUGUCGCACAAGCUUUCAAAACCUAAGGGUGUUUCAAGAUUUGUUAAGGGAUGAGUUGAAGCCUGAAAUUGAGUACGAGGAUCGAGACCUCUUCUUUCAACUGAUCAUUUUACAAAUCUCGAAAUGCCUUAAAGUCUCAAAGCUUCUGCAACAACGCUCGUGGACCAUGUAUGCUGUGAAACCCCUUCUCGAUGUUAAGUAGCUUCACCCUUUUCCCCACCAUCACGAAACUACCAAUGCAACUCAAAUCUCCAUGAUAACUUUCAUAACUGUGCAUUUAGUGGGCAGCCUCUAAAACCAUCCUAUAUUCACAUCACAUGUACAACAAAUAACAAACGAAAAGAUAAAUCACAUUUUGACUUAACAUGCAACACUAUUUUCAAAACUAAAUAGAAUAAAUGAGGUCACGAAUAUGGAACACUUACUGUAUAAAAUUGCACAACCAUGGAUUGAGAUCAUCACUACUCUGUUCUAGUGGCACUAUUUUAGUAGCAUUAUUUUUCCGGUUUAACAAAGGCCUCAGAUAGUAGUCGAAACGAUCGUAGCACACAAGCCACAUGUUUCUUGUAUUGCAAUAUUUUGCAAACCAAACCCUGAGGAUUGCAUCGUGAUUUAAGCCCGAGGUGUUUGUGACAAUGCUCUAGGCUUGUGUUUCAGGAUAUGUCACAAAUGUAACCUUUUUUUCUUUGUCGUCGCCUAAUCGAAUUAACGCAUCAAAUGCGGAUGCGCCCUCUUUGAACUUGUACCAGUAAGGAAUAACAUUUGCACAAAUUACAUGCAAUAACAUAUACGCCUACAUGACAUUUCCCAACACAUUAUGGCCGUAAAUAAACAUUUGCUCCGUAUCUUAGAGUUCAUUGUGGUUUGUUUCUUCGUCUCUAGUAUGUGCAAUGUCCAUUCCAUUUCCUUUGCACUAUAUUUUUAAUCCUAAAGAUAAAAGCGGGAAAGAAAUUAAAACAGGUUUUGAACAUUAACACGUAGAGAUUAGCCAAACAGAUUUACAAGCUUUUCUCUCCUGCUUACCAUGUGCAAGCUGGACAACAGUAGCAAAUGCCAUAUCAAGAAAAUAGAGAUUAAAGAUUUAUUUAAGGAAGGUCAGAAUUUUCAGGGCCCCAAGCAACAGGAUUAGGGCUCUAUAAGAGAACAAGUUCAAACCUCCUAAAUUAAUUCAUAUUUAUUUAUUCAUUUAUGUAGGAAAUUAAAUCUCAUGUACCUUGGUUGGUUUAAUUAUAUUUAUUGAUUCUUAUUGUUGGUGUACAAGCAAAAAAUUGGUUUUGGGAAAAACUUUCCAAACCUUAACUCACAGCUUCAAGAACAAGGUCACUAAAACAAGUAAAUGCAUGAUUAUCCUCGAAAUGACUAUUCGAAAUUUAAAGACAAUUCCAAUCCAUACGGAAAAAAAAGGUCGUACCCAGUGCACAAGGCUCCCGCUUUACGCAGGGUCUGGGAGAGGUGAAUGUCGUACCCAAUCCAUACAAAAAAAAAAGGUCGUACCCAAUCCAUACGAAAGAUAGAAGAAAAAAUUAUUAAACCUUUCACAAAGACCUAGCUAACAGGAAGGAGAGGAGAGGAGAAAAUGGUACCUGGAAACGUCAAACAAGUUGGGGUUGUAGGUUUCACCAUUGAGAAACCCCAACACUCAGGUCUGCAUUUCAUUUCUCAACUUUGGAACUCUCUAGUCUAUUAAACAAGUUGGGGUUCUAGGUUUUACAAGCCUAUAUUAACACAACAUUUUCCCACAAAACUGAAACGUCAAACAAAUUUCUGAGGAAACAAACAGUGGAUGUGUAGAGAGAGAGAUACCAUUGUUGUGGAUUGGAGGGUCGCUGGCUGUGAAGAGCAAAACGGCUGCUACUUUCUUCUUCUCGAGCAAUAGAAGAAAUCUAAUUUAUUUAUCUAUGGAUGAAAGUUUAAAUGUAUGUCACGUGAUGCGCUGUAAUUGGUUGAAAAUCUUAUCAAAAAUUAUCCACAAAGAUUCUGAAUAGAUAGCGUCAUGUGGUGCGACAUGAUUGGUUAAAAAUCUAUCUACAAAAUUCUUACUCGAUCAUGAAACAUGGCAUUACGAGAUUGGUUAAAAAAUUUAUCGAAAAUUUAUCCACUAAAAUUGUAAUUUCAAGUAACCACACCCGGAGUGACGGAUUUAGUUAAAAAUAAACAUGAAAUUAUCUUUUAUUAUAUUUUUACUCGCAUCUAUCCAAGUCCUCAUCAUCGUAAUACAAAUAGCCAAAGUUUUAGAGCAAGUACAACCAAUGUGGCUGGUU